GACGAACGCUGGCGGCGUGCCUAAUACAUGCAAGUCGAACGCAGUUGGGACGGGUGAGUAACACGUGGGUAACCUCCCAUCAGAGGGGAUACCACUUGGAAACAGGUGCUAAACCGAUACUGAUGGAUGGACCCGCGGUGCAUUAGCUAGUUGGUGGGGUAACGGCUCACCAAGGCGACGAUGCAUAGCUGACCUGAGUGGGUGAUCGGCCACACUGGGACUGAGACACGGCCCAGACUCCUACGGGAGGCAGCAGUAGGGAAUCUUGGGCAAUGGACGAAAGCCUGAUCGAGCAACGCCGCGUGAGUGAAGAAGGUCUUCGGAUCGUAAAACACUUUUGUUAGAGAAGCGUUACCUAACCAGAAAGCCACGGCUAACUACGUGCCAGCAGCCGCGGUAAUAC
rnacentral:rRNA from 1 species